AAAUUAUAUAGUAUAGUCUUACUGAGUUGCAAAAAAUCUGUUAAGAAACUCAUUUUGCUUUUGUGUAUUCCAUUUUCAGAGCAGUGGAAAGAGCUCAGUGCUAGAAAGCCUAGUGGGGAGGGACCUGCUUCCCAGAGGCACUGGUAUUGUCACCCGGAGACCUCUCAUUCUGCAGCUAGUCCAUGUUUCACCUGAAGAUAAACGAAAAACAACAGGAGAAGAAAAUGACCCUGCUACAUGGAAAAACUCAAGACACCUUUCUAAAGGGGUUGAAGCAGAAGAAUGGGGUAAAUUUCUUCACACCAAAAAUAAGCUUUACACAGAUUUUGAUGAAAUUCGACAAGAAAUUGAAAAUGAAACAGAGAGGAUUUCAGGAAAUAAUAAGGGAGUAAGCCCUGAACCAAUUCAUCUUAAGAUUUUUUCACCCAAUGUUGUCAAUCUGACACUUGUGGAUUUGCCAGGAAUGACCAAGGUAAAAAUAGUUGUGACUCAAUAUGGAUGUGGUCAUGUUUGUUUUUACUUGAACAAACAACAUAGUUUUUCCUUAACCUCAUAUGGAAUGAUCAGCCUUUUUUUUUUUUUUGCAAUUAUCUUGAUCUUUUAGCAGCAUUUGACAUAGUUGAGCCCUCCUUUCUCCUUGAAACACUUUUCUUUACUCAGCUUCCGGGACACCACACUCUAGAGGAUUAUUUCUGAUCUUACCAGCCACUCCUUCUCAGUCUCUUUUGCUGAUUACUUAUCUUCUCAAUGUCUAAACAGUGAGUAUCCCAUAGCUCAAUUUUUGGACCUCUUGUCAAGGGGGUACACUUAACCUCUUGAUGAUUGCAUCCAGUCUUAUGAUUUUAAAUAUGAGUAUCUGUAUUCUGACCACUUUCAAAUAUUUCCAGACUUACAUAUUCAUCUUGUAUGUCUACUUGAUGUAUACUUGUCUGAAUUUAAAACAUGAUGUGUCUGAUCCAAAUGCCUGAUCUGUCCCUCAACCUGACUUGGUCUUUCUAUAGUCUCCCCCAUCUCAAUAAAUGGCAACUCUGUUGUACCAGUUACUUAGCCAACAAGUUUGUAGUCAUCCUUGACAUUUCUUAUCCUAUACCAUACUUUCCCUGUUAGCAAAUCCUGUUAGCUUUCCUUAACUUAAAAUACGGGCAUACGUUGUGGUAUUUCAAAUUUAGUUCCAGACCAUCCCAGUAAGUGAAUAUUGCAGUGAAGUGAGUAUCACAGUAAAACAAAUAUACAAAUUUUUUUGUUUAUCCAUUGCAUAUAAAAGUUAUGUUUAUACUAUACAAUUGACCCUUGAACAAGGGGUUUGAACUACAUGGGUCUACUUAUAUGUGAUAUGUGAAUUUUUUUCAAUAAAUAUAUUGGAAAAUUUUUUGAAGAUUUGUAACAAUUUGAAAAAACUUGCAGACAACUGCAUAGCCUAGAACAGCUGGAAAAGAUUAAUAAAAAUUAAUACACAAAUUAGUGUAAAAAGUUAAAAUUUAUCAAAACCUAUACCCACAGACAUAGACUGUACAUGGUGCUUUAAGUAGAAAGAAAUGUAAACAGAUGUGAAGAUGCAGUAUUUAAUUAUAACUGCAUAAGGUUGGCUGUAGUACAUACUGCACUAAUGUAAUAAUUUCACAGCCACCUUCUAUUCCUGUUGCACUGAG